UAAGCAUGAACUAUCUUAUUUUUACUUCAAUGAUCAUGAAGAGCAGUUGUAUAAACUUCAUAUUUAAAAUCACAGAAAUUAAACAUGAAAUAAAAGAACAUAUUCAUUAAAAACAAUAAGUUCAUACAACUCCAAGAAUAUAAAAUUAAAAAUAUAAAACUCGUGUCCCUUUGUUAGGGCUGCAUCCAGCCCUAGUGCAGAGCUCAGCUUUCCAUGGUACAGGAGGUAGCAGCAGCGACACAGAAGGCCUUCAUCAUGACUGGGUUCUCCCUCCUUUCUCCCGUCGGCUCCCUCUCCCUCUAAUCCUUACACGAAUCAAACUCCCUUCAAACUCCCUUCAUUAUAUAUUUGUUUUCUUUCCGUGGGGAGUUAUUCCCAUAAUACCCAAAACUUCUCUCCCUCAUUUUAUUCUAUGGGAUUCGGCUUACUGAGAAGAGAUGAUGAUCCCCAAGGAAGAGACUUCUUCUCCUUUUAUAGCCUCACCAGCCCCCCCUGCUUCCCUCACCUGGAUAGGAUCUUCCGAAUGGGAAGAUAAGAGCAAAGAAUGGCUUUCUGUUCCAUGGAUGCAGAUGAAACGCGGCAGGAAUCCUCACAGACGGCUGGGAGAUAUGCAAAACAGAGGAGACUUCGCGAACGGUAGAUGGGAUGCUGUUCCACAGAUGCUGUGGAGCUUAUCCACACUUGGAUGACGUGCAAUUCGGAAGGAGAGCUGACCCAAAAGAAGCUUGGAAUGCACGUGGGUGAGUAGCUGGAAUGCGGAUGAACCUUGCUCUGCUGGGAAGAAUCUGGUUGGAUACUCCAUUCUGUGAAGCUUGGAACCAAUCUGAACGGGAUUCUAGGAAGUGAAGUUAUUCGGAAGAGGAGCUGAUGCCGUUGGGAGGUGCUGGAUUCGGCUGGGGAAAUAAGCUCGAUCGCGCAUAGAAGAUUGCUGCUCCAUCUCUUCCGGAACAACUCGAAACAGGGGGUGGAGCAGGAAGGCUGGGAGCUUAGUUGAGAUGAAGACACGGGAGACUUGAAAACGAUGGAUACGGCUGAG
rnacentral:lncRNA from 1 species